GAGUUUUUGCAGAUUUUCAAAUAAAACUCAGAGAUUCCUUGUAUGACUCUCUAAAUCUCUCUUUUGUGGUAUUUCUGGAUCCUUACCAAGGCAGUGAUGGUAUAUGCCUUUUCUCAAGAUAUAUGGUAUUUGUGGUAUAAGGCAUAGUGACAUUGCCUUCUCUCUCACCCUACUCUAAUAAGGCUUUAAUAUCUGGAGCUCAUAGGUGGGAGACAGCUAAUACAUACUUACAAGACAUUUAUUGCAUAGUCAAACCAUGGAUCCAGAGAAACAAGUCAAUAAGUCAAAUCAAGAUGUGCAUGUGUGGCGAAUGAAUGGUGUAUGGUGAUGAUGGUGAUAACAAUGGUGGAAGUCUAAUUCUACUUUUGCUCUUUUGAGGGGAUACAUACCUUUCUUGCUUUUUGAAACUUUAUGAGGAGAAUGAGAUGCUCUAUCUUUCAUUUUUCUUUCCUCUCAGGUGGGUAUCCUGUACCCCUAAUUCUACUGUCGGACACUUGUCCAUUUUUACCUCUCGUCUCACUCUUUUUUUUUCUUUCGAGGUUCCGGGCACUUGCCCCUUUUUAUUUCCUCGUAUAUAUAUAUAUAUUUUUCUCUCCUUCCCUUUUUUUAGAGCACUCAUCUCAUGAGAUAAUAUAGCAUGUGGUAGUAACAAGAUAACUUGAGCAUUUAUUUCACAAGGAAAAAAUAAAAAAUAUUUUUUGGUUAUUCUCUCCCGGAUUAGGAGUAAAAUAUUUUUGGGUGGUUCUGGAGAUGGAAACGAGUAGAUAUAUGUGGAUGGUACUUCCGGAGUAGAAGCAGCAUGUAUGAGUGAACGUGCAAGUGAAUCUUGAUUUUAACCACAUGACAAGCUCCUAAGGGUCCCUGACCACACUCAAUGCUCAUAAGCAGUAAAUAGUAAAUGUGUGGCUCAAAGUCUAGCAAGCAUGUAUAUAUGGCUGUGGUAGGAAUUUAAACUUUCAUCAUACAGGAACUCAUCAUGCAAUAUUUUAAAUAUUUUUCAAAGAUAAAAUUCUCCAGAAUUCUAGCAUCUCUAGGAACAGAUAAACAGCAGCUCAACCUUCCCAUAUCAUAUCCGUUAACAACUUAGAUUUCAGAUCAAGUUUUCAUCCCACAAGUUUAGAUCUAAUGCAAACUUUAAAUUAUAACAGUUAUGUCUAAACUUGAGAGAGAACUUUAAAUUUGCAAAUUAGGCAGAGCAACUAUUCAUCAUAUCCAUACUAGAGUUUUAUUAUUAAGAUUCAGAUUAGCAUAGCCACUUUAUUUAUUUAUUAAACACACUAAGCAAAAGAUAUAUAUAUAUAUAUAUAUAUAAGCACAAAAUCUUUAUUUGGUUUUUCGUAGUUUAUGUAUUUUAAUAUUCUAACAUAAUAUAAGUAUAAAGAUAGGUAGAAAUACUUAGCGAGAUAAAUGGGGGUGCUCUCCCCCAAGCUGAAUUUUGACGUAAUUUCUCUUGAUGUAGCUAGCAGGUGGCAGAGGUGUAUUUGAAAGUCAGCAGCAUUCUGACAGCGAUUAGAAUGUCCUCCGUCUGCUAGUCUUCUUGGUUCUUAAAUUCUGUGGAGCUCAAAUAGACAACAAAGCUUGUGGAACUGAUUAAGUGUUAGCAUAAAUAUCUAGCCUUUAUCAUGUUGAGACUCCUUAACAAUUAUUACUCUCUAUUUUUUUUAUAUUUUUGUUUUAUAAAGCACAAAAGAAAUAUUUAUUUUGUUUUUAUGCCACCACAGUGAAUGUACUUAUGGGUUUCAUGCCAUGAGCAUAGUCACAUGGGGCUUACUAUUUUUAACAUUUUUAUUUUUUUUUUCAAGAUAGCAUGACUAACUAACAAGCCAUUUAAGGAAAAAUGCAGAAAGGAUAAAUAUGGAUAAUUACCGAUUUUACCUUUCGGCGAGGGUUCAAUGAUUUAAGUCUUCUUAACAAGACUUCUCACCGUGUUCAUUCUUCAGGUGUGUCAUUUGAUUCAAGUGCGGACCUUGACGUCUGCACCUCUUGAUACGGUGUCACCAAUGUUCUUCGUUUGCCCAGUAGUUCGAAGUGCGGCGUUGGUAGUGUACCUGCUCACAGAGACAAGACAGAGAUCAAGUGCAUGGGCCCUGUUGGUGGAAAACACCAACAGAACCAAAUGUGUAUUUGUUCUUCUCUAACCUUAAGCAUGGUGAGCAAGACAAAGUUGACGAAUGAUAAGUUCAUGAGUGUAGCACUUAUAACAUUUGUCAGAUCAGAUCGCUCAAUCUUAUGGAAAGAUAAUCUAUCUAUGUAUAUGUCUUUUUCUUUAUAUCACUUAAAGAUUGAAUGUGUAACAUUUUAGCUCAUAUGAUUAGGAGUGUGGGAUCAUGGCGGUAGUACUAAGAACAAGGGUUAAAGGACUAAACAUGUUGAAUCAGUUGGGUUGGUUAAUCUAGAGUUGUAAAUCAUACAUGUUUGUCUCUUUUAUUUAUAUGAAUGCCAGAACCAAGGAGAAGCUUAUAAAAGUGAUAGUCAAGUACCUUAAGAUGUUACCUUGCUUGAAGAGUGAUGGUACAGUAUCACCUUGUGGAAGCUUUCCUUUCUUAGUGGUUGUGCAUCGCGUUUGUGGCAACUUCCAUGGAUCAUCUCUCUAUGAUGAAUGAGCUAUGUCCUUCUUGUGCAAAUUGUUAAACUUCAUGUGUCACUCUCCUUGUCUCCAAUGUGAGUUUAUCUCAAGACUUCCCAGGUUGGUGUUGAAAGUUUUCCUGCAGGGGUUAGUCCGACAGAAUAUACCAAUAUCUACUCAAGCAGUUUUUGGUUCAGUAACCAAACUAGACUCCAUGUCUAAUCAGAUUAAGGAAGGCUAUUUAACCUAAGCACCAUGCUUAAUUUAAAUGCCAAUGGAAGUAUGACGAGUACUUCCAAACCAACACUUGCUAGUAAAUAGACAAAGGUAGCAUGACAACAUUUAUAGAGAUCUACCCAAGUGGAGAUGAAGUAGUGUGAUUAGUACUUAACAAACUGAGCAUGUCUCAAAGGUAGGGACAACCAACAUAGCAACAUGGCAAAGGAUGUUUUUAUGUAAAGUACUCCCCCAAGCUUGAAUUUUGCAAAAUUCUAGUUUGGAUGAAUUUAAUUCAAUGUUGUAUGAUGAUUGGUUGGACAUACCUUUUGCUUGUCAUUCAUCCGAUCUUCUUGCUCCAAUCCUAGAAAGGUUAGUGGCAAGAAUACCCGAAGGAAUAUUUUUACAAUUAUCCUUAUAUGCUCAAUACACAAGGUAAUGUUAAAAGCUCAUGUUACAAUCUGAUUAGUGCUUAUUUUAGGACACUAAGCUUGUCCUUGGGAAACCAUCAAUUUAGGUCGGCGAAGUGGUUUCCCUUCCAACGCUGACCUAUAUCAAGAUCAACUCAACGAGAUCUGCAAUAUUUAUUAU
rnacentral:lncRNA from 1 species